CCCUUAGAUGUUCUGGGCCGCACGCGCGCUACACUGAUGCAUUCAACGAGUCUAAAACCUGGUCUGAUAGGGCUGGGUAAUCUUUUGAAUGUGCAUCGUGAUUGGGAUAGAUGAUUGCAAUUCUUCAUCUUCAACGAGGAAUGCCUAGUAAACGCAAGUCAUCAGCUUGCAUUGAUCACGUCCCUGCCCUUUGUACGCACCGCCCGUCGCUCCUACCGAUUGAAUGUUCCGAUGAAUACCAUGGACUGAGAGUAUGAAUGGGUUCGCCUAUUUCUGCUUCUCGGGAAGUGGAGUAAAUCUUAACAUUUAGAGGAAGGAGAAGUCGUAACA
rnacentral:rRNA from 1 species